AACUGAAGAACACAUGUCAUCUGAAAAGGGUUCUCAAAAGAAAUCUCUCAGAAGGCAUCAUCUAUUAAAGGGAUCGGUGAAUGGAUUGGACUGGAAUGAAAUUGAAAUGGAUGUUCACUUGGAUCUGAAUUUGACAAAGAGGAGCACUUUCUUCAGUGAGAGUUGAGGAGCAAAGGGAGAUCACUGUCCAUUUGUACAAAUCUCAAGUUGUUGCACAGGGCCUCCUCUUGGUGUCUUCCUGCAGGAUGCUAGGGGGCCCAUGCAUCUACAUUCCUGCUCCAUCACAGGCGACAGCAUCAGAAGACGAGCCAGGAGCCUGUUGGUCGAGUCAAAGCCAGGACCUGUCAGUCAAUGUCUAAUGUUGGAGGAGGUGUAGGACCUGCGCAGUAUGACCAUCUCCAGCUCAGAAGCGGCGGGCACGGAAGUAACAGUGCCAGUGGCAACAGGAAAUGACCACAUUUCCAGGACCUGGAGAUGAUGUCAGAUGGCAGUGACUGGAGGACGACGAAAACUGAAGACAAUGGAGAGGGAAAGAUGAACUUCUGAAGUUGAUUCAGUUCUAGUAAUGUCAAUUUAAUAUUAAUGUAUUAACCUUUUUACCAUUUAUACAGUUUAUUCAAUAACUUAUUCCACAAUCCAAGAUGGUGCUGGAGUGUGGCUACAUUGUCCAUUUUAGAUUUAUUUAAUAUUGUACAUGUGACAAUAUUAAAUGAAUCUAAAUCAAAAUAUUAAGUAAAUUUAACUCUGGUGUUUUUGCACAAUAUUGUGGGAAUCUCCAUUAAGAUGCUGUCUUCCUCCAGUUACUGUUCUGUCCUCAGGUAUAUUUAGGUCUCAAUGUAGCAGAGUUAUUUUUGGAUCUUUAAUUAAUGUAGUUCCUGGCACAUUUGUUCCGGUUGCCAAAUGUUGAUCUACGUGUCUUCUCCAUGUUACAUCAUUUCUUAUCUAUCCGUUGCAUGAGUCAUAGAGAUCUACAACACAGAAAAAAGCUCUUCAGUCCAGCGCAUUCAUCACAAUAAAAAAAACAGCAGGGAAGUGGUCCAGUCUAUGCUACAACGAUGGCUGGUACACACUUCUCGCCAGUGGUGUAAUUCCUCACCAACAUCUCUUGAUCUUUUUGGAAAAUGUAGCAUUUGGCCUUGUUCUCUCAUUGGAAAACCUGAUUCUGUUAGACCAUAAGAACAAAAGAAAUCGAAACAGGAAUAGACUACAAUUCAGUAGAAUCAUGGCUGCUCCGACAUUCCUCACAACCAUUUACCUGCUUUUUCCCCAUAACCCUUGAUUCCCUGAUUGAUCAAGAAUUUAUCCAUCUCAGCCUUAAAUACACGUGAGCACUCUGCUGCCACAGCUCUCUGUGACAAGGAGUUCCAAAGCUUCUCAACUCUCUAAGAUACAAAUUUCUCCUCAUCUCAUUCUUAAUUUGAUCCUAGAUUCUCCCAUGCGGGGAAAUAUCCU